CAAUGUCAGAAUGACAACUUAAACUCACAGCCGUAUUCUUCAGAGAUCAAAUACACUGAGUCAUACAGUAACAUCAACAUUAGCAAUAACUUUUAUUCCGAAGACAGAUAAGAGGAAGACAAAGAUGGGGUUUUACCCAAAACUUCACUUACUCAAGAGGCUGAAAUCAACAUGAAGUCAGACGUGCUGGACAUUCUUUAAACCACUUGUGUCCACUGGUCAUCACACUUCCUUCAGCUGCCCUGUCUCAAGGCUAUCUUCCCCAAAGGCAUCCAGUCAUCGUGCAGAAACGGAGACCAAGAGCAGAGUUUGCUGCAGUCAUUAAUCACUUCUGUUGCUUUGGGGUAUGGCUGAAAUAUGUCAAAAAGAAACAUGGGAAGCAAGUACCAACCUCCCACCAGUUGCAGAAAAGUGAGAGCUGGACUUCAGCAUAGUUGAAUGGAAAGUGAAGUAAAUGGGCAAAAUCUCCCACACUAUAUCUAAUCCAAUUUUCUCAGAGAUGAGCUCAGAACAAAAUGGUGUUGUGGGGAAAUAUAGGUUGGUGUUGUUGAUAAAAACAUCAGUUUAACACUUAGAAAUACUCCUGUACCCACCCAGGAGAAAAGAUAAAGGCUUAAACCUUGCCCAUCCUUGUGACACUACAUAAAACCACAGUUUUGAAUCAUUCUGGCUCCCUUUCCUGUCCCAAAGUGGAUAUGUGGUGAUAAGAAUGGGAAUAGAAGAGGCCAAAGAGGAGACAUAGCAAAGCUGCAAAGUCGAGGAAUCAUAGAAUCAUUAAGGCUGGAAAAGACCUCUAAAAUCAUCAGGUCCAGCCCCAACCCACCCUCACCAUGUCCACUGACCACGUCCCUCAGUGCCACAUCUCCAUGGUUCUUGAGCACCUCCAGGGAUGGUGACUUCACCACUUCUCUGGGUGAUGUUCAAAUGGGACUUUCAAAAUUAGUUGAGACUUCUACUGUGCAUUCAUUGUCACGAGACACAGAGUGUUUGGAUUCUCUGUCUGGAAAGAAGUUGGAAAUGAACAAUUUCAAAUGUCUUCCCACAGAGAAACCUGGAUCCACUGGGCUCCUUGGGUGCAUUCAGGCCACGUGAAUAACUGAA
ensembl:lncRNA